UGAUUAAUUGCUUUUUUAAUA
rnacentral:piRNA from 1 species